rnacentral:miRNA from 1 species
GCCCAUAAUUCAUAUUCAUUCUCUCUCUCUCUCUCUCUCUCUCUCUCUCCCUCUGUGUGUGUGUGUGUGUGUGUGUGUGUGUGUGAGAGAGAGAGAGAGAGAGAGAGAGAGAGAGCAUGUACUUCAAAAUGCAU